CGCAUGGCGGCGAGCCCGGUGCGCGCCUCGGCGAUCACGGCGUCGAGCGCGUCGAUCCGCGCCGCGCCGUCCGGGUCGGGGCCGUCCGC
rnacentral:tRNA from 1 species